AUAGCUCACCCUCCUUAUAAAUGGUUAUCGUUCUCCGUAGAUGCGCUUUACUCCUCCCUCCCGAUUCUCCCCGCCUGUUUCUUCUUUGCUCAUUUGUAUUUUUUUUUUCUUUUCAUCUUUAAUUUUCUGUUCGUUAUUGGUAGUUAGGGCUUUCGGCUCCUGGAAUCUCAUAGCAGUUGCUGUGUUGCCCGAAUUGAUUUCGUUAUUGGUUGGGAUUAGACUUUAAGUUUUACUCUGUUUAAUCUGUUGGAACGUCGGAAAUUUGACAUAUGAUUGAAUAGAGCUUGGAUCGCCUUUAAAAUUUCAUUCUAUGAAGAUGGGAAGCUCGUCUCGGCUUGCUCGUCAGAGAGAUCCAUAUGAAAUAUUGGGAGAUGAUAGGACUUCAACUGAUUUGGAUAUCGAAAAUGCAAACAGGAAAGGAAAUCAGCUCUCAAGUGAGUUUCCUUCUGAUUGAUAUUCGCUUCGUCGCAAAUAUGCUCUCAAGUUCUAUGGAAAAGAGAAAUAGAAAGGAGUUUUUUCUCCUUUCUAUUUGGAAUGAACUUAUUUCAGCCUUUGACUACAGCAGAGUUAUUCUCCUCUUCGCCAAGACUUAAUGGAAGCAAGAAAGCAAAGAUCGUGCGGAGCUGCAUCCCCUUUGCAGUAUGCUGGAUUUUAUGGAAUGAGAGAAA